rnacentral:rRNA from 1 species
GUCGAGAGGCUUCGGCAAUGGGGGAAACCCUGACCGAGCGACGCCGCGUGCGGGAUGAAGGCCUUCGGGUUGUAAACCGCUGUCAGGAGGGAAGAAUCCUGCCGGGCCAAUACCCCGGGAGUUGACGGUACCUCCAAAGGAAGCUCCGGCUAACUCCGUGCCAGCAGCCGCGGUAAUACGGAGGGAGCGAACGUUGUUCGGAUUUACUGGGCGUAAAGGGCGCGUAGGCGGCUUUGCAAGUCCGAGGUGAAAUGUCCCGGCUCAACCGGGGAUCUGCCUUGGAAACUGCUCAGCUUGAGGGCGUGAGAGGAGACUGGAAUUCCUAGUGUAGCGGUGAAAUGCAUAGAUAUUAGGAAGAACACCAGUGGCGAAGGCGAGUCUCUGGCACGAUCCUGACGCUGAGGCGCGAAAGCUAGGGGAGCAAACGGGAUUAGAUACCCCGGUAGUCC